UUAUAAAACAAUAAUUAAACUUUCCAAAAAAAGUGUAAGGUUUUUCUUAAACUAUAUAAAUAGAAAU
rnacentral:tRNA from 1 species